AAUUAAACUUUGAUGGAGAGAGUAGAUAUAAAAAAUUUUUUACAGGGAAUAAAAGUUAUAGACUGAGAGCUUUUUAAAAAUAAUUAUAUUGAAGUUCACUCCGGAGUUCUAGCUGUGAAAUAAUAGUAGCAGUUAGCGGAAAUAUCCGAUAUUAAAACAAGAGAACUAGCACUAGUGUUAGUUAAAUUGGGUGGUAACACGACAACUUCGUCCCUUUA
rnacentral:ncRNA from 1 species